rnacentral:lncRNA from 1 species
AGAACUGUCUCAGAUCAAAUUCCAACAAGACCAACUCAAAUCGCAGCAAGAACAAAUUCAACUCCAGCAAAUUGAAAUUUUGAAGGAACUAUGACAACUAAAUUAAAAAAUAGAUGUUAUGUAUCAGCACUAUGGAUUACCUCCUAAGGAUUGAUGUAUCUUUUUAUUCUGUUCUGUUUACUCUUAAUAUCAAGUUCGAAGCUGGUCAUCUUUUG